rnacentral:lncRNA from 1 species
AUUAAAUUGUAUAUAUUAUGAUAGUAAAAUGGUACAAGAGCUAUUAUCUUCUUAAAACUAUGAUUUUGAAUUCCGGAAUUACUUACAUUAACAAAAUAUGAUAGAAAUAGACAUUUGCUUUAGAAUGAGCUAAAUACUGAAUUUUUAUAUACACAGUAAGAUUUGGUAGCAGUUUAAAUAUUUUCAGAAAACUGAAUCCAAGACUCUUUAUUUAUGUUUACUGCAAUGCAAGGAGAGAGUCUUAAGUCAACUAUUAAUAUAUCUGUGCUAUAUUUUCCUCUAAGGAUUUGGGAACAGAAUUAUGCUGUUCUCAUGAAAACAAUAUUUGUCCAGCCCUUACAGAGGGUUGCAAUGCACUCUAUUACUUUUAAAACAAAAAUAUCACUCAGUUUAGAUUUAAAAUGUAAUGCUUUUCUCUUUUCUUUUCUUUUCCCCCCCUUUUUUUUUUCUUUUUUUUUUUCCUUUAUCUUUCAGCCCAAGAACUUGCCAGUCAAGAUGAAAAACUUCUUCUAAUGGAAUCCAGCUUGAAAGCAACUCAAGAGCAGCUAAGUGAGCAAACAGCAGAAACAGUUCACCAAGAACAGAACAGUAGAAAAUCACAGACAGAGCUGAAAGAAGAUCCUGAGAGAACGUAUUAUAGCUUCUGAUGAAGAAAUUAGUGAUUACAAGUCUGAAAAAUGUGAGUAAUGCCUCCAGAAAAGCUUAAAUGGGAAUCACGCCAAGAAUGUGGGACCAGGAAAGUCAAAUUGUCAGACUGAGACAAAACUUUGUGGAAAUGGAAGAAGAAGUAAAGAACUUAAGACUUACACACAGCAAUGAUGCUCAGAUGAUUGAUAAGAAUCUGAAUACUCUGAGAAAUGAGAUGAACUUGUAUGAAGACACAUAGGAUGGUAGUCAAAUGAGCUGAAGUUUAAAUAUGAACAACACAAUGCAACACUGAGGCCUGCAUGACUGUAAGAAUGUUAGGAUAGAAAAUUGUCUUUGGUAGCAGCAAAGAUUAAAAAAAUAGUAUCACUUAAAUAAAUACAUGUGAAGAAGCCAAAUUUGUAACAAAAAGGAAACCAGUAAAUGAAUUCACAAAAGCCAGCUACUACAUAGCAAAUCUCUGUAUAAAUGGGCUGAGAGUAUGUACCAAGAAGAAGGCAAGUAUCUAUUCUUUUUCAAUGGGAAAAACAAAAAACAAAAAACAAACAAACAAAAAAGCUAUUUCAUCCUUACUUUGGGAAAAAGGCACACAAAACCAAAGCAAAAAAUGCCUCACUGACUGCAUCUGUCCAUUCUGUACUGUAAUUUGUUUCCCGCUAUGAAGAUUUAGGUUAAAUUCAUUUCUAUUAUUAAAGACAAAUAAGCUGCAAAAGAACUAAUUCUCUGUCUCCAUCUUUUACAUGUAUAUUUAUUCAUAUGAAUGCACUUUUGUUCAUUUAUUUUUACUUCUACCUUGACAAAGCUGUGCAAAAAAUAACAUAGUUUGAUUACUCAUAAUUUGCAUUUGUGUAAUUAAUAGGGAUGAAAAGGAUUAAAAUCAAUGGAGAAAUAUUUAUUUGUUUAAAUUGGAUAACUAUGGAAAAACUAUUUGGCAGGAAUGAAAGCUUUUCCAUCUAAAUUACGUCAUAUAAUUUAAACUGUUUUAGUUUUUAAGCUUAAAAAGCAUGAAAAUCACAAAGCAGAACUGGAAGAAGACACAGAAAAAUACUGCCAUGUAAAGGAAGAGCCUUCAGAACAAGGGUCUCAGCUCAAAAUUAGCUAGCUGGUCCAUUCUGGAGUGGGAAAACUGAUAAAAUGCCGCAGUACUCAGGUAAUACCCUUGAUACAAUAUGUGGAAGGGAGACAGUGUUUGAAGUAAUAUCAGUGAAUGUAUCAGAGUACUCUCAGAGAAUUUUUCCAACGGAUAAGGAAAUAUUAUUUAAAUAAUACUAACUGUAAAAUUCACUCAUGAGUGAUUGAGAAAACAUGAGAAAUAUUGUUGAAAAUAUCAAGUCAAUAUAACAGCAGCAUUUCUUCUUUUAAAAGUGUUGUGGGUGGGAUUCACCUUGUUGAACUGGAGGUAGGAAUAUUUGAAAUAGAUGUCUAAGUUCCAUUGCUGUCAUUGGAGACUUAAUCAACUCAGUGAGUGAAAUCAAGGGCUAUCAAUACCUUUCAUUACCCAAAGUGAACCUACAGAAAAGCUGGAGAGUGACUCUUUAUCAGGUAGCAUUGUCAUAGGACAAGGGAUAGUUGCCUUCAACUAAACUAGAUUAGACAUUAGAAAGAAAUUCUUCACUAUGAGGACAGUGAGAUACUGAAAUAAAUUGUCCAUAGAAACUGUGGAUGCUCCAUCUCUGGGAGCAUUCAAACGUAGGUUGAGUGAAGCCCUUGGCAACUUGAUCUCAUGGAAGGUGACUGUGCUAUGGCAGGGAAUUAGAACUAGAUGAAUUUAAGUUCUCUUCCAAACCAUUUUAUGAUUCUAUGACUAAAUAUUGAUCCAAUCAAUAUUAAGGUUUUCAGAGGAGCUGAAAAUCAAUCCCAGUGACAAUAUUAUUCAUUGUGAUAGAACACAUUCACACACCGUAAUGCAGACAUCCAAAUUUGGGUAAGAAUAAUCAGAUUAGAAAAGUUAGCCUUUUUGCAGCAAUUCAUUAUAUAAUACGGAAUUAUUUUAUUUAUUUUUGUUACUAAUAAGAGUACUAGAUGUUUCACAAGCAUAGAUACUGGUCAAUUAUCUGAGCAAUAUCCAAUAUAUAAAUACACAAAGUUAGAAGGAAAUGAUCAAUGCCAGAGAGAAAUAAAAGUUAAAAUAAUACAUGCUUUUUCUUCUGUGUCUGAGAGAAUGUGAGUAGAUGUGAAAGUUGGAAAACCAAAAGAAUUAGUAGUAUGACAACAUUCCUUUUCUACCCUAGCAUUGUCAAAAGAUAACAAGAUUAAUUCUCUGCUGUAGUAUUUCACUACAGUAGUGUGUUAAUUUGAGGGGCUUGGCUGAGCCUUAUUCAGCAUAUAAUUAGAAUUUACUGAACUUUAAUUUCUUAUCAUCUUUAGGCUGCAUUAUCAAAGUGUUUAUAUUGAAACAUUCAAAUGUUCAGUUAAAAAUAAACUUCAGUUUGUCAAGGAUACAUUGUAUACAAAUUCUGUGGAAAUAUUUGAAUAAAAUUGUUCACUUUUGCUUUGUGAGAAAUGCUUUGCACUUUACAUAUUUAUAACAUAAUGUCAUUAGAGUAUGUAUCUUAGAAAUAUAGCAAUUUCCUGGUGAAUUUAUUGAAUAAAUGCUUAUCUAAUAAGUAAUUUGAGAGUAGAGAAAGAUCUAAUGAAAAGCUAAAUACACAGUGAAAUCCUAAUCAAGCAAUUGAAAUAGUUACUCAUGAUAAAACUAAGAUUAUCAGAGUAUCAGAACACAAAUUACUCCAUUAAUCUUUUGAAUUAGUCAGUUCUUAUUUUCUGAAGCUAAGUAACUUGGGAAGGUACACUCAAGGUUUCAUCUUUCUGAAGACUGUAUUUAUUACCUUUACUUUCAUAAAGAGUUCAUUAGAAAGAAUAUUACAGUGAAAUACGUUAACUUUUUAGCCUGUUUUAAUGAGGUCAUGUGAGUCUUUAAUUAUCUGACAUAAAACUGCUUAGUUUUACGUAGUAUCUACAGAUACUAAUUAGUAUCUACAUAUAUACAUUAGUAUCUACAUCAAUUAGUAUCUACAGAUAUUAACGGAUUCAUAUGUCAUAAAGCCAGAAGAAACGCUGUUAUUGAAUCUUAUAUGUGGCACAAUGCAGGCCACAGGACUUCACUGAAUUGAGUAGUUGUAAGAGAUUAUUCUUUUAUAUGAUUGACUCAAAGUUUGCUGAGGAACAAGUCCAGGCAAGUCCUGGGCAAAGGUACAGAAAUCUUCUGUCUGGAGGACACUGAUGGACAGGUCCUGGCUAAAGGAUUGUGAAGUCCUUUAAGGAGCACAGAUGGACGAGGCCAGGGGCAACGAGAGAGGGAUAAGCUGCUGAUAAUGGCUGAGAAAUGGUCUUUUGUGUGGACUUAUCUAGAAGAAGAUGGCCAUCUCAGGAGCUACGCACAUGACUCUUGCUCAAGCACCCAGGGAUGUCACGUAGGCAGGAAAAAGAGGAGGAUAAAAGAGGGUCUAACAACCAUGAGGAGAGGGUUUCUGCCAUCAGAUCCCUCACCACGACGGACUCAAGGUUUCUGCCAUCAGAUCCUUCACUACGGACCAUAUGCUGAUGGACUUCCCUGGGCCUGCUACCUGAGACCUGCUGCUUCCUCCCAGACUUACUCUGCGGCUUCUUCCUGGACCCACCCGGUACCUGCACCCUCUCGUUGCCCAAGACCGGCCUCGCUGCUCCUGCCCUUCAGCCUCGGACCAUCAGAACAUCGUGCAACAGGACUACUGCUGGUGGUGACUAUCCCCGCUUUAUGCAAUUCUUGCUUCUUUCUAUCUUUUCUAUCGCUCGCCUUCCCUUUCCCAUCACCCCAAUCCAUAAUAGUGUCCGUCCUCCCCUUUCUUCAUCUCCCUUAUUAACAUAUGUAAUAAACUGGUCGGACCAACAUUUGAACCGUUGUUUCUUAAUCUCACGCCGGGCAUACAUAUUUCAAAGAACCUCCUCUCCCUCCUAUAAAUUGGAGUGAGACAGUAGUACAUUAUGUCUAAGUAAAUGUGAUUAAAAUGGAGUAUAUUAAAAUGGAGCAUACAUUUUUUAUACAUUCUUGACUUUAAAUAUACACAAUGUUAGAGAAUUCAUUACGGUCUUUCACAGGUUGCCUCAAUAGUUAGUAAAACAUAUAGCAUGCUGACUGUUCAUCAUUUUAGCAUCUUUCUUGGAAUGUUAUACAAAUCUCAACAUAUAUAAAAAUAGUUUUUAUGUCAUCUUUAUCAAUAACAUUUGAAAUAUCAUAAAACUGAAAGAGCAGAUAGUUUUACAAGAUGUGUUUACAGUAAAUCCACAGUAACUUUGGUUAUUAUAUUAAUGCACAUUUGUUAUAUGUAUCUACAGCUAACACAAAUUACUGUGGAAUUAUGAUAUUAGCUGUCCUGAUAUUUUGCUUGAAAGAGAUAAGUAACUACCCUCCUUGAAUUACUUGAAUCACCCUCUUAAAACCUAAGAAAUAUUAGCACAGAAUUAACAGAUAAAUUAAUCUGUACUGUUUUGGAAGUUUUUAAGGUUGUCAAGACCAAACACUGUAAAUAUGGCCUAGAAAUUCUUUUCAAAAGCACUUCAAAAGCACUUAGAUAUGUUUUACGUAGACAAUUUGAAAUAUAUUUAUACUUAUGUGAUUGCAGUCACUUUUAUCCUAAGACUAAAAUACCAUACAUUCUUCAGUUAUAAUAGAAUAUUUCACAUGAAGGGUUCUACAGAGAUCAUCAAGUCCAACUGCCUGACAACUUCAGAGGUAACCACAAGUUAAGCGUAUUACUGAGGGCAUUAUCCAAAUGCAUCUCAAGUAAUAUUAGGCAUGGGACAUCAGUCAUCUCAUUGCAGUGAGAUAAAAGCCUGUUCCACUGUUUGAUGAUAAAUAAAUGUCCAGUAUAGUCUGAAACUCCCCUGGCACAGCACAGCUGUGUGCCACUCCUGUGCAACCUGCAAUCAGCACAGAAGAUACCAGGGAGCAGAGACCAGCACCUCCCUCUGUACUUCCUCUCCUCAAGGAGCUGCAGAGAGCAGUAAAGUCAUCUUGUAGACUCCUAUUCUCCAGGCUAGACAGUCCAAGAGUCCUCACCCUUUCCUUACUAGACAUGUCUUCCAUUCUGAUUACCUGCUUUGUUGCCAUUGUCUGGACACUUUUAGAUAUCUUAAUAAUGUUUUUAUGUUGUGGGGCAUACAUUAUUCAAGGUGAGGUUGCACCAACUCCAAAUAUAUCAGGACAAUCACCCCAAAAAGCAGUUUGCCCUUUUGGCAACCAACACUGCUGGUUCAUACUGAGCCUGCUAUCAUCAGCCCUCCUAGAUCAAUUUGUUCUGAGCUGCUCUCCAGCCAUUCAUCUCUCAGUUUGUGUCAUCUCUCAGGUACUGUGCCAGGCAUAGUACCUGACAUUUACCUUUGUUGAACUUCACGCCACUGUUUCCCCAGUGCUCCAAUCCAUCCACAUUGCUCUACAAGACCUCAGCAACACAACUGACCAUCUACUAGCCAAAUGGGUCUCCAUCACUACAACACUUUGAGUUCUACCAUUGAGCCAGUUUAUCACCCUGCAUAGUGUGAACAUACUUAUCUCACAGUUGGACAAUUUGUACAGAAAGUUGCCAUGAAGGAUCAUAUCAAAGGCUUUACUGAAUUCUAGAAAGAUGACGUACGCUGCCUUCCUUCAUCCACCAAGUGGGUAAUCUUAUAAAAAGAAAUCAAAGCAAUGAAGACAGGGCUUUCCCUUCAUGAACCCAUAUUGACUAUGCCUGACAAUGGCUUUGUCCUUCAAGUGCCUUUCAGUAACACUCACUAUAAUCUUCUCCAUAAAUUUUUAGGGUACUGAAGUUAGGUUAACAAGUCUGUUACAGAUUUGUUACUUUUGUUACUUUGUUUUCAGUAAGUUCUUUCUCUUUAUUUUUUGUUUGUUUGUUUAUUUUACUUUGUUUUGGGAAGAGGAGAGCUUGUGGUGGGGAGUGGGGUUUUGUCAUCUACGUAGUGCUAUUGAAGAUAAUACUACUUUUUUAUAUUUAAACAUUUGAUCCUCAGAAAGUUUCAUCCUAUUCUUUCAUGUUUACGAGAUUUUUCUCUCUUCAAACACUUUUUUUCUUUGUAUGAACAUUUGCAAAUGAGUGUGUACAUGCAUAUCAAUGACCAUGAGUACAUGGGGCUUAUCUGUUCCUCAAAAAUAUGACUUGGUCAAAAUUACUUUUGCAUAAAGAACAACUGAAUUUCAGCAACGUAAUCCUUUCCUACUCAUAAGUCUUAAAUUAAUGUGCAAAAUUGAAUUAAUCAGCAUAUUUAAUUACAAUUUUUUUGUUAAACUUAUUUAUCUGUGAAGGUGUUAUGUAUAAUUUUUGAAAGUUAAUGGAUACAUUAUUAAGCAAAGAGUAACAGCUCCAACAAACCAGAAUUAUUUAAGUCUCUGAGGAAAACUAAGAUUUCCCUUCUGAUUCAUCUUUAAAAUCCUGUUUUCAACAUCUUUGCAAAGUUAAUUUUAGUUUUUUAAAAGCCAGGUAACUUAAAAUAAUUUUUCUGCCCUUCAUUCCUCUUUUGUUUAUCGUGUUUUUCAGAAUGUUGUUCCAUUAGUGACUUUGAAGUCAGUGAUGUUAGAUCAAAUUAUUCAAAUUACUAGCUUUUGUUGUUGCUGGUGCUGUUUUGUGGGUUUUUUUUCUUUUGUUUUGUUUUGUUUUGAUUUUCCUCUUAUGAAUGUAAUUUACUGGUGUAGUGGUUAUUAGAACAGAACUUCACAGUGUUUGUGUUUUGUCUUAAUUAUAAGUAAUUUUAUAUCACUAAUAUUAUCAGUAAACUUGUUUGUGUAUAUUUUACUCAAUGAAAUGUUAAUGCCAAACUUUGAACAGAAACUGUACUGACUACUUCUAUCUUAAAACAGACAGUACCAGUAGCUGAUUGUUUUACUUUUGUUUCCUUUCAUCAAACAACUCUAUUCAGAAGGUGAAAAUUUCCUUUUCUUCUUUUUGAUGGAAUUUCUUUUCAUUUCUCCCCUUUCUUUUCAUAGUUUUACAAACGGUCAGUUACACAGUUUAUUACAAAAUAUGUUGAGGCACAUGCCUAGAAGGUGUGUUGAAUGGCAUACUCCAUCUACUUGUGGCAUCUAUGCAUAUUAAGUUGUUAAAAGCAUGUUUGUCAAACUUAUAUGACAGUUUUAGCAAUUGUAAAAACGCAUAUUUGCUAUGCUAUGCUAGAAGAAGAGGAAGAAAAAGAAGAAGAGAAGUGAAAAAAGAGAGGAGAGGAGAGGAGAGGAGAGGAGAGGAGAGGAGAGGAGAGGAGAG